rnacentral:tRNA from 1 species
GGAGAGGUGCCGGAGUGGUUUAUCGGGGCGGUCUCGAAAACCGUUGUGGCUCUCGUGGUCACCGUGGGUUCAAAUCCCACCCUCUCCG